rnacentral:rRNA from 1 species
GACGAACGCUGGCGGCGUGCUUAACACAUGCAAGUCGAACGGAAAGGCCUGCUUUCCCUUGUGGAUUGCGGGUGCUCGAGUGGCGAACGGGUGAGUAACACGUGAGUGAUCUGCCCCCAACUUGGGUAUAAGCCUGGGAAACUGGGUCUAAUUCCCGAUAGGACUGCAGGGUGGUGCCUGUGGUGGAAAACGAUUUUCUAGUGGUUGGGGAUGAGCUCGCGGCCUAUCAGCUUGUUGGUGGGGUAAUGGCCUACCAAGGCGGCGACGGGUAGCCGGCCUGAGAGGGUGGACGGCCACAUUGGGACUGAGAUACGGCCCAGAAUCCUACGGGAGGCAGCAGUGGGGAAUAUUGCACAAUGGGCGGAAGCCUGAUGCAGCGACGCCGCGUGGGGGAUGACGGCCUUCGGGUUGUAAACUCCUUUCGACCGCGAGGAAGCCACCUGGUUGGAAGGGUGGUGACGGUAGUGGUAGAAGAAGCACCGGCUAACUACGUG